UACGUAGGGUGCAAGCGUUGUUCGGAAUUACUGGGCGUAAAGGGUUUGUAGGUGGCUCGCUAAGUCAUACGUGAAAUCCCUCAGCUUAACUGGGGAACUGCGUGUGAGACUGGCAAGCUCGAGUGCAGGAGGGGAAUGCGGAAUUCCAGGUGUAGCGGUGAAAUGCGUAGAUAUCUGGAGGAACACCGGUGGCGAAGGCGGCAUUCUGGACUGCAACUGACACUGAAAGACGAAAGCCAGGGGAGCAAACGGG
rnacentral:rRNA from 1 species